GCUAGCUGCGUAGAACCAUGUCGUCGCAUUCAGUGCAUACAGUGCAGUACAGCACUUCCUUUGUCAUGCAGUUAUUUAUGACAAAUAUGGACAUGUGUCAGUUUGUCACUUUCAUGGUCAUGUAGUGAAGAUCUAUUCAGCUACUGCAGAAACUGUCUUGAAGAUAGCUAAUGUUUUGCGAUUUAGAGAAAACGUGCCAACAAGGGACGACGAGUUUGUCACUUUCCCCAUUGACAAGCAGUUUGCCCAAAUCCUGCCCUGCUCUGCUAAACAUCAUGUAAACGGCCGUCACAGAACGUUCCUGUCAGAAACCCUGCCUGUUUUAACGUCAUUUACCGUAGAUAUACAGAUGAAAGACCGCCCUCCUCACAAGCGGUGGUAUUAUUAAAGCAGGGUGUGCCGUUGAAACAGUCUGAUUUGAGAACAGGGGCUAGAUAAGCAAGUAGAUACUCUGUGUGCCCAGCAUCAUUUUAACAGCUUGUUUUGCUCUUUGAUUCUGUUCACAAUGGCACAGGUCAACAGAUGUCUGAAACAGCUGUUCUUUGGAUUCAACAUGUUGUCAGGGAUUGCAGGGUGUGUCCUAUUGGUUUUGGCAGUGAUCGCAGCACCAUAUAAUACAGAGCAUGACCAAGGAGAGUCAAUUGGCUUGACAUGGAUUAUAUCGACUGCAGUUGUUUCUGUGCUGCUCUCUUUACUUGGAGCAUAUGGUGCAUACAAAGAGAACAUUGUGAUACUGCGAGUGUUCCUUGGAAUAAUAGGCUUUGGAACAAUCUUCUUUCUUAUUGUUGGAUUUCAAAUGGCUCGUUCAAUGCCUGAGGCCAUGCAACUGAUUAAAGAAAACCUCCCUGCAAUUACAUCAGAAAUGAUGGCUGAUGCGAGCACCGACAAACUAUCAUGGCUCUACAAGUACAAGGUAAGUGUUGUGGAAUAAUGAGUUACAGAGACUGGGAUAGCAAGAUUCCAGAGACCUGUAAAUGUUCUAGUUUCAAGUCAGACCCGUCCCAAUGUAUGGAGGUGCAAACGACUAAAGAUGGCGGCAACUGGGGAAGAUCUGACAAAUCUGAAAUGAUGUGGAUCUACAGAGAGCCCUGUGGUCCUCUCAUCUUGAAGAACUUCGACUCUGCUUUUAAGACCGGACUUGGAUUCUUCUUGGGAUUUGGUGUUUAUUCUUUGAUUGGGCUAGUGUUAUCCGGCAUGAUGAUUCGUCAGAUCAAGAAGGUGCAGUCUACUGAAGUUCCUGAGACUAUAGACGAUGGAUAUCGUUUCACACCUUAAUUCCAGGCAAUUCGCCAUGUGGAGGGAGUUGUGGGAGUUGUGGGAGUUUAACCGACGACCUUACACCCAUAACCAGGGAUGAGGUCAGAGUUUCAGUUUUGGCAUCCUGGCAAGAGGCGAGGAGUAGAAGGUGCUCGAACAACGUGAGACGAGGUGCAACCAAAAAAAAGAAUAUGAGCGUUCGGAAUGAAAAGGCCCAACUCACUGCUCACCGUUCAUUUCAUUUGUGUAUAACCUUUUCUUUUUUAUCAUAAUAAAGUUUCGUCUGUC